UCCGAGUUGACCCCGGCAGUCUCCUAUGAGUCCCCGGCAUUAUCCGCUGGCAACAUAGAACGAGGGUUGCGCUCGUUGCGGGACUUAACCCAACAUCUCACGACACGAGCUGACGACAACCAUGCACCACCUGUACAGAGCCCGUAAGGACCUGCCAUCUCUGACAGUUUUCUCUGUAUGUCAAGCCUGGGUAAGGUUCUUCGCGUUGCGUCGAAUUAAACCACAUGCACCACCGCUUGUGCGGGCCCCCGUCAAUUCCUUUGAGUUUCAACCUUGCGGCCGUACUCCCCAGGCGGGAUACUUACUCCGUUAGGUGCGGCACCGGCGGUAACCCGCCGACACUUAGUAUCCAUCGUUUAGGGCGUGGACUAC
rnacentral:misc_RNA from 1 species